CCUACGGGAGGCAGCAGUGGGGAAUAUUGGACAAUGGGGGAAACCCUGAUCCAGCGACGCCGCGUGAGUGAAGAAGUAUUUCGGUACGUAAAGCUCUAUCAGCAGGAAAGAAAAUGACGGUACCUGACUAAGAAGCCCCGGCUAACUACGUGCCAGCAGCCGCGGUAAUACGUAGGGGGCAAGCGUUAUCCGGAUUUACUGGGUGUAAAGGUAGCGUAGACGGCCGCGCAAGUCUGGAGUGAAAUGUCGGGGCCCAACCCCGGAACUGCUCUGGAAACUGUGAAGCUGGAGUGCAGGAGAGGUAAGCGGAAUUCCUGGUGUAGCGGUGAAAUGCGUAGAUAUCAGGAGGAACACCGGCGGCGAAGGCGGCUUACUGGACUGCAACUGACACUGAGGCUCGAAAGUGUGGGUAUCAAACAGGAUUAGAUACCCUAGUAGUC
rnacentral:rRNA from 1 species